rnacentral:rRNA from 1 species
UACGGAGGGGGCUAGCGUUGUUCGGAAUUACUGGGCGUAAAGCGCACGUAGGCGGACUGUUAAGUCGGGGGUGAAAUCCCUCGGCUCAACCGGGGAACUGCGUCCGAUACUGGCGGGCUUGAAUCCGGGAGAGGAAUGCGGAAUUCCAGGUGUAGCGGUGAAAUGCGUAGAUAUUGGGAGGAACACCAGUGGCGAAGGCGGCUCACUGGACCGGAACUGACGCUGAUGCGCGAAAGCGUGGGGAGCAAACGGG